rnacentral:rRNA from 1 species
UGGGGAAUAUUGGACAAUGGGCGAAAGCCUGAUCCAGCCAUGCCGCGUGUGUGAAGAAGGUCUUCGGAUUGUAAAGCACUUUAAGUUGGGAGGAAGGGCAGUAACCUAAUACGUUUCUGUCUUGACGUUACCGACAGAAUAAGCACCGGCUAACUCUGUGCCAGCAGCCGCGGUAAUACAGAGGGUGCAAGCGUUAAUCGGAAUUACUGGGCGUAAAGCGCGCGUAGGUGGUUUGUUAAGUUGGAUGUGAAAUCCCCGGGCUCAACCUGGGAACUGCAUUCAAAACUGACAAGCUAGAGUAUGGUAGAGGGUGGUGGAAUUUCCUGUGUAGCGGUGAAAUGCGUAGAUAUAGGAAGGAACACCAGUGGCGAAGGCGACCACCUGGACUGAUACUGACACUGACGCUCAUGCACGAAAGCGUGGGGAGCAAACAGGAUUAGAUACCCCCGUAGUCCCUGAGCGGGCUGGCAAGGCGCAU